AAAGGAGUAAUCCGCUAUGAGAUGGACCCGCGGCGCAUUAGCCAGUUGGUGAGGUAAUGGCUCACCAAGGCGACGAUGCGUAGCCGACCUGAGAGGGUGAUCGGCCACAUUGGAACUGAGAUACGGUCCAAACUCCUACGGGAGGCAGCAGUGGGGAAUAUUGCACAAUGGGCGAAAGCCUGAUGCAGCAACGCCGCGUGAGUGAUGAAGGCCUUCGGGUUGUAAAACUCUGUCUUUGGGGACGAUAAUGACGGUACCCAAGGAAGAAGCCCCGGCUAACUCUGUGCCAGCAGCCGCGGUAAUAC
rnacentral:rRNA from 1 species